rnacentral:rRNA from 1 species
CCUACGGGAGUCUGCAGUGAGGAAUAUUGGUCAAUGGACGAGAGUCUGAACCAGCCAAGUAGCGUGAAGGAUGACUGCCCUAUUGGUUGUAAACUUCUUUUAUAUGGGAAUAACAUGUUCCACGUUUGGGAUUUUUUAUGUACCAUAUGAAUAAGUAUCGGCUAACUCCGUUCCAGCAGCCGCGGUAAUACGGAGGAUCCUAGCGUUAUCCGGAUUUAUUUGGUUUAAAGGGAGCGUAGGUUGAUUGUUAAGUCAGUUGUGAAAGUUUGCGUCUCAACCGUAAAAUUGCAGUUGAAACUGGCAGUCUUGAGUACAGUAGAGGUGGGCGGAAUUCGUGGUGUAGCGGUGAAAUGCUUAGAGAUCACGAAGAACUCCGAUUGCGAAGGCAGCUCACUGGACUGCAACUGACACGGAGGCUCGAAAGUGUGGGUAUCAAACAGGAUUAGAGACCCCUGUAGUC